rnacentral:ncRNA from 1 species
CUGAACACGAUGAUGGGAAGUAGUAGCAAGCACGUUUUUUUUAGAGAGUCAGCGGGUGGUGGAAGCUGAUAAAAGCACUUGUGAAUCCGUCCUGGAGUUGCGCAGUCGAAGUUAAUGAAGUAGGCUGUCGCCGGCUGAAAUGCCGUUAUGAGAUAAGUGGAUUAGACAAAGUACAAUGUGUCUAGUCAAUUAGGGUGGCAACGCGGGUAGCUCUCGUCCCUUUU